CCGAGUUUACAACUCCCAAACCCCUGUGAACAUACCUAUUAUGUUGCCUCGGCGGAUCAGCCCGCGCCCCGUAAAACGGGACGGCCCGCCGCAGGAAUCCACUAAACUCUGUUUUUAUUGUAACUUCUGAGUAUAAAAAACAAAUAAAUCA
rnacentral:misc_RNA from 1 species